UAAGGAUUGGUGUAUGAUGCAUUUGGGUUUUUGGUAUUCAUGGAGAAAGUUUGAGUCUUUUAUUUUUGG
rnacentral:tRNA from 1 species